GUGGAUUAGAUACCCUGGUAGUCCACGCCGUAAACGAUGAGCACUAGUUGUUGGGUACGAAUGUAUUCAGUGACGCAGUUAACGCAAUAAGUGCUCCGCCUGGGGAGUACGGUGGCAACACUAAAACUCAAAGGAAUUGACGGGGACCCGCACAAGCAGCGGAGCAUGUGGUUUAAUUCGAAGCAACGCGAAAAACCUUACCAGGGCUUGACAUCCCUCUGACCGGAUCCUAACCGAUCCUUUCUUCGGACAGAGGUGACAGGUGGUGCACGGCCGUCGUCAACU
rnacentral:rRNA from 1 species